AGCGGCGGACGGGUGAGUAAUGCCUGGGAAUAUGCCCUGAUGUGGGGGAUAACUAUUGGAAACGAUAGCUAAUACCGCAUAAUCUCUUCGGAGCAAAGAGGGGGACCUUCGGGCCUCUCGCGUCAGGAUUAGCCCAGGUGGGAUUAGCUUGUUGGUGAGGUAAUGGCUCACCAAGGCAACGAUCCCUAGCUGGUCUGAGAGGAUGAUCAGCCACACUGGAACUGAGACACGGUCCAGACUCCUACGGGAGGCAGCAGUGGGGAAUAUUGCACAAUGGGGGAAACCCUGAUGCAGCCAUGCCGCGUGUGUGAAGAAGGCCUUCGGGUUGUAAAGCACUUUCAGUAGGGAGGAAGGUAGUGUAGUUAACACCUGCAUUAUUUGACGUUACCUACAGAAGAAGCACCGGUUAACUCCGUGCCAGCAGCCGCGGUAAUACGGAGGGUGCGAGCGUUAAUCGGAAUUACUGGGCGUAAAGCGCAUGCAGGCGGCCUGUUAAGUCAGAUGUGAAAGCCCGGGGCUUAACCUCGGAAUUGCAUUUGAAACUGGCAGGCUAGAGUCUUGUAGAGGGGGGUAGAAUUUCAGGUGUAGCGGUGAAAUGCGUAGAGAUCUGAAGGAAUACCAGUGGCGAAGCGGCCCCCUGGACAAAGACUGACGCUCAGAUGCGAAAGCGUGGGGAGCAAACAGGA
rnacentral:rRNA from 1 species